UUUACACCAAAAUCGCCAGGGAACUACGAGCCAAGCUUAAAACCCAAAGGACUUGACGGUACCCCACAUCCAUCUAGAGGAGCCUGUCCCAUAAUCGAUAAUCCACGUUUAACCUUACCAUUCUUAGCCAAGUCAGCCUGUAUACCUCCGUCGUCAGCUCACCCCGUGAGCGAAAAUUAGUGAGCUUAAUGUUUUUACACAGCACGUCAGGUCAAGGUGCAGCAAAUAGAGUGGAGAGAGAUGAGCUACACUUUCUACAUUAGAAGAAACGAAAAACUACCUAUGAAACCUAGUUGGAAGGCGGAUUUAGCAGUAAAAAGGAAUCAAUAUGUCCAUUUUAACCCGGCACUGGGGUGCGU
rnacentral:rRNA from 1 species